GAAGCCCCAGUGAACGGCGGCCGUAACUAUAACGGUCCUAAGGUAGCGAAAUUCCUUGUCAGGUAAGUUCUGACCCGCAUGAAAGGCGUAAUGAUUUGGGCACUGUCUCAACAGCCCGCCCGGCGAAAUUGUAGUACCGGUGAAGAUGCCGGUUACCCGCGACAAGACGGAAAGACCCCAUGGAGCUUUACUGUAGCCUAAUAUUGGGUUUCGAUGUUGCAUGCACAGGAUAGAUGGGACACAGGGAAACAGGAGCUUUGGCUUCUGCGGAGUGGCCGUUGGGAUACCAUCCUUGCGAUAUUGGAAUUCUAACCUGCGGCUCUGAAUCGAGUCGGGGGACAUUGUUAGGUGGGCAGUUUGACUGGGGCGGUCGCCUCCUAAAAAGUAACGGAGGCGUUCAAAGGUUCGCUCAGCUUGAACGGAAAUCAAGCAAAAGAGUGCAAACGCAGAAGCGAGCCUAACUGCGAGACUGACGGGUCGAGCAGUAACGAAAGUUGGAGUUAGUGAUCCGGUGGUAUGUGAGUGGAAAUGCCAUCGCUCAACGGAUAAAAGUUACCCUGGGGAUAACAGGCUGAUCUCCCCCAAGAGUCCACAUCGACGGGGAGGUUUGGCACCUCGAUGUCGGCUCAUCGCAUCCUGGGGCUGUAUUCGGUCCCAAGGGUUUGGCUGUUCGCCAAUUAAAGCGGCACGCGAGCUGGGUUCAGAACGUCGUGAGACAGUUCGGUCCCUAUCUGUUGCGGGCGUAAGAGAUUUGAAGGGAGCUGUCCUUAGUACGAGAGGACCGGGAUGGACGUACCUCUGGUGCACCAGUUGUCCUGCCAAGGGCAUAGCUGGGUAGCUAUGUACGGACGAGAUAAACGCUGAAAGCAUCUAAGCGUGAAACUCCCCCUAAGAUGAGAUCUCUCAUCCUUCAAGGAGUAAGGACCCAGAAAGACGAUCUGGUUGAUAGGCCGAAGGUGGAAGCGCAGUAAUGUGUGGAGCUGAUCGGUACUAAUAGUCCGAGGGCUUGACCUA
rnacentral:rRNA from 1 species